GAGACAUCUAGCUAUGGGCCUGAAGUGUCUGUCUGUUCAUUUCUGUGUCACUUGAAGGAGUGCCUACAUGCCAUCUUAUCAUCUCGUUACGGUCUGAAAUUAUUUGACUAACUAAGCUGGCAAGGAAACCCAGAAGCAAGUGGAAGAGCAGCCUGGGAUGGAGCCCUUUCCUAACAGGCAAAUGUACAAGCUGUGACUUCAGCAGACCACUUCAACUAUCGCAAUCACAUUUGUUUAGAACAACAGAGCCAUAUCCUUCUUUGGGUUGCUCCAUACCUUCCUACAGCUAGCAUGGAUAAAACACUAGUGCUCCGUGGAGAAAUUUCUCUAUCUAGAACAGAGAAAUUACUCCUCCCAGUUCAACCUGAGAAUGAUUCUGCUCAACCUUCAGCAUCAGACCUGACAUGUGAGAAGACUGCCAUUUGGAAAUGCCAGCCACCCGUUAGCUUCCUGCAG